rnacentral:rRNA from 1 species
CACACCGCCCGUCGCUACUACCGAUUGAAUGGCUCAGUGAGGCCUUCGGACUGGCUCGAGGAGGUUGGCAACGACCACCUCGAGCCGGAAAGUUCGUCAAACUCGGUCAUUUAGAGGAAGUAAAAGUCGUAACAAGGUUUCCGUAGGUGAACCUGCGGAAGGAUCAUUA